GACGAACGCUGGCGGCGUGCUUAACACAUGCAAGUCGAACGGAAAGGCCCUGCUUUUGUGGGUGCCCGAGGUGGCAAACGGUUGGGAAACCGGUGGUUACCUUGCCCUGGCCUUGGGGUUACUUUAGGAAAACGGGGCCUAAUCCCGGAAGGGGCCUCCGCCUGAUUGUGGGGGGUGGAAAGUUUUCGGCGGUUGGGGAUGGACUCGCGGCUUAUCAGCUUGUUGGUGGGGUAGUGGCUUACCAAGGCUUUGACGGGUAGCCGGCCUGAGAGGGUGACCGGCCACAUUGGGACUGAGAUACGGCCCAGACUCCUACGGGAGGCAGCAGUGGGGAAUAUUGCACAAUGGGCGGAAGCCUGAUGCAGCAACGCCGCGUGCGGGAUGACGGCCUUCGGGUUGUAAACCGCUUUCGCCUGUGACGAAGCGUGAGUGACGGUAAUGGGUAAAGAAGCACCGGCUAACUACGUG
rnacentral:rRNA from 1 species